rnacentral:rRNA from 1 species
GUGCGUAGGCGGCUUUUUAAGUUUGGUGUGAAAUCUCCUGGCUUAACCGGGAGGGUGCGCCGAAUACUGAGAAGCUAGAGUAUGGGAGAGGAAAGUGGAAUUGCAGGUGUAGCGGUGAAAUGCGUAGAUAUCUGCAGGAACACCCGUGGCGAAAGCGGCGCGCUGGAUCACUACUGACGCUGAGGAACGAAAGCUAGGGGAGCAAACAGGAUUAGAUACCCUGGUAGUCCUAGCCCUAAACGAUCAGGACUUGGGGUGCCACCCGUUCGGGUGUCGUCCCGGAGCUAACGCGUUAAGUCCUGCACCUGGGGAGUACGGUCGCAAGACUGAAACUCAAAGGAAUUGACGGGGGCCCGCACAAGCGGUGGAACAUGUGGUUUAAUUCGACGCAACGCGAAGAACCUUACCAGCUCUUGACAUGCCCGGUAUGGGGAGGAGAGAUCUUCUUCUUCAGUUCGGCCGGCCGGGACACAGGUGCUGCAUGGCUGUCGUCAGCUCGUGUCGUGAGAUGUUGGGUUAAGUCCCGCAACGAGCGCAACCCCCAUCUGCAGUU